rnacentral:rRNA from 1 species
UACGUAGGGAGCGAGCGUUGUCCGAAGUUACUGGGCGUAAAGGGCUCGUAGGCGGUCUGUCGCGUCGGGAGUGAAAACUCAGGGCUUAACCCUGAGCCUGCUUCCGAUACGGGCAGACUAGAGGUAUGCAGGGGAGAACGGAAUUCCUGGUGUAGCGGUGAAAUGCGCAGAUAUCAGGAGGAACACCGGUGGCGAAGGCGGUUCUCUGGGCAUUACCUGACGCUGAGGAGCGAAAGUGUGGGGAGCGAACAGG